GAUGAACGCUGGCGGCGUGCCUAAUACAUGCAAGUCGAGCGAACGGACGAGAAGCUUGCUUCUCUGAUGUUAGCGGCGGACGGGUGAGUAACACGUGGAUAACCUACCUAUAAGACUGGGAUAACUUCGGGAAACCGGAGCUAAUACCGGAUAAUAUUAUGAACCGCAUGGUUCAAAAGUGAAAGACGGUCUUGCUGUCACUUAUAGAUGGAUCCGCGCUGCAUUAGCUAGUUGGUAAGGUAACGGCUUACCAAGGCAACGAUGCGUAGCCGACCUGAGAGGAUGAUCAGCCACACUGGAACUGAGACACGGUCCAGACUCCUACGGGAGGCAGCAGUGGGGAAUCUUCCGCAAUGGGCGAAAGCCUGACGGAGCAACGCCGCGUGUGUGAUGAAGGUCUUCGGAUCGUAAAGCUCUGUUAUUAGGGAAGAACAGAUGUGUAAGUAACUGUGCACAUCUUGACGGUACCUAAUGAGAAAGCAACGGCUAACUACGUG
rnacentral:rRNA from 1 species